CUGAACUUAAGAAAUUUACACAAAAAGUUUGUGAGUAUCAAUUUCUGCUAGGACUAAAUUUUGAGUACAAUCAAGAACGAGUUCAGAUCUUGGGAAAAGAAGCAAUAACAUCACUCAACGAUGCUAUUUUCACUGUAACAGCGGAAGGGAAUAGAACAGGGGUUAUGCUAGAACCUUAUCCCACUCAUAGUUCAAUCCUGAUCUUUUACGAGGUUCUAGACCUCACUAGCAGACAAAAGAGAUGAAUUCGACAUAGGGAAUGGAUAACAAGACAACCUUGUUGUUUCUUUUGUGAAAAAACC
rnacentral:lncRNA from 1 species